rnacentral:rRNA from 1 species
UACGGGGGGGGGGCAAGCGUUGUUCGGAAUUACUGGGCGUAAAGGGCUCGUAGGCGGCCAACUAAGUCGGACGUGAAAUCCCCAGGCUCAACCUGGGAACUGCGUCCGAUACUGGAUGGCUUGAAUCCGGGAGAGGGAUGCAGAAUUCCAGGUGUAGCGGUGAAAUGCGUAGAUAUCUGGAGGAAUACCGGUGGCGAAGGCGGCAUCCUGGACCGGCAUUGACGCUGAGGAGCGAAAGCCAGGGGAGCAAACGGG